UAGGGAAUCUUCGGCAAUGGACGAAAGUCUGACCGAGCAACGCCGCGUGAGUGAAGAAGGUUUUCGGAUCGUAAAACUCUGUUGAUAGAGAAGAACAAGGACGUUAGUAACUGAACGUCCCCUGACGGUAUCUAACCAGAAAGCCACGGCUAACUACGUGCCAGCAGCCGCGGUAAUACGUAGGUGGCAAGCGUUGUCCGGAUUUAUUGGGCGUAAAGCGAGCGCAGGCGGUUUCUUAAGUCUGAUGUGAAAGCCCCCGGCUCAACCGGGGAGGGUCAUUGGAAACUGGGAGACUUGAGUGCAGAAGAGGAGAGUGGAAUUCCAUGUGUAGCGGUGAAAUGCGUAGAUAUAUGGAGGAACACCAGUGGCGAAGGCGGCUCUCUGGUCUGUAACUGACGCUGAGGCUCGAAAGCGUGGGGAGCAAACAGG
rnacentral:rRNA from 1 species